AUGUUAUGUAUUGCUGGUGACAUUUUAUGUAUUGCUUUGGUUUGUCCACAGUCAACCAAAUUAUGGAGUUUCAGUCAUAUAUGUUGUCUGUUAUUUCAUACUCGCCGGUCUCCGACCGCCGGCGUCGGCAGCACCGCCGCCUCCUCCAACACUCUUUGUCGGCCGCCCGCGUGCCGGUGCGAGGAAGCCAUGGAGCUGAGGGAGCAGGCGCAAAAUCUAUGUAUCAGUAUGCUUUAUAAAAUUAUUCGAGUAUUGCAAAAUUGCAUGAUACAUCAAAUUGGAGCGUAUUCUAUUUUUUAUGGACUGCGGACUUAUGUUGCUUAUUUAGAGGCUGCCGUACAUGGAUCAGGGUCUGAAAAUCAUGGUGUAAGUGUUUCAGCCUAUUAA
rnacentral:rRNA from 1 species